rnacentral:lncRNA from 1 species
GGAAAUGUAUAGUGUUCUGCUUUUCUCCUGAUUGGGUUAUCUUGCCUCUGCUAAGUUUGGUUUGUCCCGUCUCUAUCUCAGUGGCCACUGGAGAGAGGGUGUCUGCUGUUCUUCCCUGAUUCCACCUGUAAAUACAAACGUUAUCUCUUCUCCCUGGCUUUGCUCUGUGCAUUUGAGGUGGGAAUGUACUCGGUUUGGCGAAAUAGUCUUUCAUGUCCCUAAACCUGAAGCCUCUAUUGACUGUAAAUGGUAGAGAAAAGGAAAGUACCCCCAAGGUGUGAACUCUAGUUAGGGAAAAAAAUAUUUUUGGGCUUGACAGUGACUCUUAGUUAACUCAAUUACUGGAAUAAUAGAGUCAGAAAUAUUUCUUUGUUUUUCAGGGAGGUAGAGGCAGGAGCGUAAGAUGUGGAAGCUAGAAAUAUCCACUUGUAACACGGUAUUAGAAGGAAUGUUAUUUUACAUGGAAGAUAAUCCUCAGUGAUCCUUUUUUUUUUUUCUUCAAGACGGAGU